GAAACAUUCUAUGUCUUGGCUAUAGUGGUUAUUACAUGUAAUACAAAUUUGUGACAAUUAGUCAAAGUGUAUACUUUAAGUGAAUGAAUUGCAUUUUAUGCAAAAUAUUCCUCAAAAAUGAUUAAAAAUAGAAUACAUAAGCAAGAAUAUUAAGAAAAAUGUGGAAAGUAAACAAAAUCAGGUGGUUUUGAUUUUCUAGCUAUUUUAAUUUGCUAUAAUUUACAUUAAAACUGUGCAAUAGGCCAG
rnacentral:lncRNA from 10 species